rnacentral:ncRNA from 1 species
CAGUCUCGGGAUGACUCUAAAAGCGCCCUGGUGCGGGUGGAUGUUGCCGCUUGGUUUGUGUGUUCCAGUCAAAGACACUCUGGUAAAUCCCCUU